CAUAAAAUAUUCUAGAUGUUAGAAGAUUUUUUUAAUAAUUAUAAAUGAAUAUGUUAUUUUUCUAAUUAUGUAGUAGUGCAGUUAUUUUCUUGUACAGAACAGUAUAGUUUGAAAGCUUUUUAAAGUAUAAUAAUAAAUAACUAAAAUUCAUUCUGAAUAUAUUUGCAAUGAAUUAUAAGUAUCCAACAACUUCCCACUGAAAUAAAAAUGAACAAAAGAUUCGAUAUGAAAGAAACAUUGUAUUAUUGAUCUAACAGGAGUAACUGAGACUCAUUGCGUCCUACGCUUAAAUAACUCCAUCAUUCAGUAUCACCCAAACAGACAAAUAUGAUGAUGGCAACAGAGAGAGCCUUUCUCUGCUUAUGGAUAAAAGAAGAAAUCAGAUGCCUUGUAGGGGGAAAUGGCUUUAACAGAUGGGGAAAAAGAGUCUGGAGUCCGGGCUUUAUUAAGACAGAGAGAGAGAGACGAGAGACGAUCAUUCUCUUCUAUCAGAAAUUAGUGUGACACGGCCGACAUCUCGGACCUUCAAAGACAAGGCACCUAAGGACUUGCAUUAUACUGUAUGAAAAUUGAAACACCACAAUACUGUUCUGCUGAAAAAACAAUGUCACCUACAUCUUGGACGGCCUGAGGAUGAUUACAUUUUUAUCAUUGGCACCGUCCAGUCGUACCGCAGUUUCAAGCAUGAAGCAGCUGGCCAAUCAGAGCAGGGUUUCUAUCUCUGAUGAGAGCACCCGUGAUGUCAGCGAGUCUCGCCACAGACCCCUCCCACUGCUCUGACACCUGCACGAAC